rnacentral:rRNA from 1 species
UACGAAGGGUGCAAGCGUUAAUCGGAAUUACUGGGCGUAAAGCGUGCGCAGGCGGUUCGCUAAGACAGAUGUGAAAUCCCCGGGCUUAACCUGGGAACUGCAUUUGUGACUGGCGGGCUAGAGUAUGGCAGAGGGGGGUAGAAUUCCACGUGUAGCAGUGAAAUGCGUAGAGAUGUGGAGGAAUACCGAUGGCGAAGGCAGCCCCCUGGGCCAAUACUGACGCUCAUGCACGAAAGCGUGGGGAGCAAACAGG